ensembl:misc_RNA 7SK 7SK RNA
GGAUGUGAGGGCAAUCUGGCUGCGACAUCUGUCACCCCAUUGAUCGCCAGGGUUGAUUCGGCUGAUCUGGCUGGCUAGGCGGGUGUCCCCUUCCUCCCUCACCGCUCCAUGUGCGUCCCUCCCGAAGCUGCGCGCUCGGUCGAAGAGGACGGCCUUCCCCGAAUAGAGACGGACCGGUCUUCGGUCGAGGGUAUACGAGUAGCUGCGCUCCCCUGCUAGAACCUCCAAACAAGCUCUCAAGGUCCAAGUAACAAAGAUUAGUUAACACUUAGAAAUUUAGAUCGGAUUUUAUGCUUUGUUCAAGGAGGAAGUUUGGAGAUU